rnacentral:rRNA from 1 species
AGAGUUUGAUCAUGGCUCAGGAUGAACGCUAGCUACAGGCUUAACACAUGCAAGUCGAGGGGAAACGAUAUUGGAAGCUUGCUUCCGAUAGGCGUCGACCGGCGCACGGGUGAGUAACGCGUAUCCAACCUGCCCACCACUUGGGGAUAACCUUGCGAAAGUAAGACUAAUACCCAAUGACGUCUCUAGAAGACAUCUGAAAGGGAUUAAAGAUUUAUCGGUGAUGGAUGGGGAUGCGUCUGAUUAGCUUGUUGGCGGGGUAACGGCCCACCAAGGCGACGAUCAGUAGGGGUUCUGAGAGGAAGGUCCCCCACAUUGGAACUGAGACACGGUCCAA